GGGGCCGUAGCUCAGCUGGGAGAGCGCCUGAAUGGCAUUCAGGAGGUCGUGGGUUCGAUCCCCAUCGGCUCCACUA
rnacentral:tRNA from 1 species